CUGCACUGAAUAACGUCAAAUUCCUCUCAUUUUCUUCAAGUGGCACGGAGUGGCACAACUUGGGAAAUAUUUAUCCUUCCUCAUUCCAGAAUUUGGUCGAACUAAAAUUUAAAGUGAAUGGUUGUAGCUGGAAUGUGCUACAAUACUUACUCCAAAAAGCUCCUAAUCUAGAAACUCUUGUUAUUACUAGGGGUUAUGAUUUCGUUGAAAGCAACUUAUAUUGGAAGGAGCCACAAUAUGAUCCUGCUAAUCUGUCAUCACUCACAAGUUUUUAUUACAG